GCGCAGCUGAGGAGUCCCAUAAUAAGACGAAACGGUUGUCCAGUGC
rfam:Schistosoma curassoni strain Dakar, Senegal genome assembly, scaffold: SCTD_scaffold0008946